CGCAGCAAGGAAGCCCUCCCUCAGCAAAAUCUCUUCUACUGCAACAAGAAACCCUCACCUUAACCCUUUUUCAAUCUUCGAUUCUCUCUCUAGAUCAUCACUUCCAACGAUUUCAUCCUUUUCCCUCACCUUCCACUCACGGUAGACCAUCGGCAUAGCUAUACUGUUGCCAUAUCAGACCACUGCCAUACGACUGAUGAAGAGCUUUUUCUGAAUGAACACUGUGACAGCUGCUACUCCGGCUGUUAUUGAAGCCCUAAACAGCAGCAUAAACAGCAGCACAUUUAGUGGAUGUGGCCCUUUCUUUCACUCUUAUCUUCAAGUUCCCUGAAGCAUAAACAGCAGCAGUUGAUUGGAAACUUUGUCUUGAUCACCGUAAGUCACUUGUUGGCCUCUUUGUCCUACACUAGUAUAAAAGACUUGGGACUUGGAUAAUUACUCUAUUCUGGGCAUUCCAUUUCCCUAAAGAAUGUCUUGCAUUUUGUUUCUUCGACAAUUUGGUUUUGCCUGGAUCCAGGUACGUACUUGUUUCUUCAAUAAUUGGGUUUCUUUGAUGACUAAAAUUGGUACAUACGCAAUGCAUUUAGAAAAUAAAAGUAAAAUAAAAUAACAAAAGAUUUUGGGAUUGUUGAUUUGUGCUUAGUGGAAGGACACGUUGUUUAGUUGAUAAAAAGGAACAGGGCAAGGGUUUCAGGUCUUGGAUUUAGAAAGUUACUAGUUAGUUUGUUCUCUACCCCGUUAGGUUAUAACACUCCAUUUUAGGUGGACUCCUUGGAGAAGGUGGGAUUGUUUAUGUUAUUUAUGAUUGUUACUGAAGAAAUAGGUAUCGUUUAGUCUUGGCGUUCUCUUAGUGAAAUAUAUAAUUUCUAUUUCUAAAAUGUCAUUUUUUAGCUAAAUUGUGUUAUUGUUUGAUUAAUAAUAGCCAUUUAUAGUUUUUUCCUUCUUUUGUUUAAUUUACACUUAAAUUUUCUAGUUAAAUAAAAUACAAAUUUGACACUACAAUCCAAAAUGUAGAUACACAGGUUUGACUAAUGAGGUAUCUGCCAUUGCACAUUGCAAUUGCAAUGAGAAAUAGUAAUCGCAAUGCGACCAGCUGUGAACCAAACUGAAACCCUCGUAAAGCUGAACUCCCGAAUUGCACAACUUACCCGCUCACACCAAAACUCAGAAGCCCUACAACUCUUCAACCAAAUUCAUUCCGCUAGCCACCAUAGACCUGACAAAUAUACCCUUACCAGUGCCCUCUCCGCUUGUGCCAACCUCCAAGAUAUUGUAGCCGGAGACCAGCUUCAUGCCUAUGUCAUCCGUGCUGGUUUCAGAGACUACACCCACAUCGGCAACACCCUCCUUUCACUCUAUGCGAAAUUGAAUGAUCUAAACUCUGUAAGCCGAGUUUUUAAUGAUAUCACAGCCCCCGAUGCCUAUACAUGGACCACUCUCCUGUCGGCAUAUACCAAGUUGGGCCAAGUCAACCAUGCUUGCCAGUUGUUCAAUGAAAUGCCUCAAGCUCAGGGAAAUGUUUCCGUUUGGAAUUCCAUGAUUACAGGUUGUGUGGAGAAUGGGCAUCAAGAGGUUGCCUUUGUCAUGUUCCGUCAAAUGCAUUUUCUGGGCAUUAGACAUGAUAACUACACUUUUGCUAGCAUCCUCAGUGCAUGCGAUUCCUCAGAGCUGCUUGAUUUCGGGAGGCAAGUGCAUUCAUUGGUAAUUAGAACAGGAUUUCUGUUAAGGUUGUCCGUGCUUAAUGCUCAGCUUACAAUGUAUUUCAACUGUGGGAUGGUUGAGGAUGCAAUUAUGUUAUUCGAAGAGACUGAAUCAACAAAGCGUAACCAGAUUACUUGUAAUGCCAUGAUAGCAGGGUUGGCAAGCAGAGGAAGAGAUGUGGAAGCUUUGAUGAUAUUCAAGGAGAUGCAAGAAAAUCACCUUGUGCCCAAUGAGCGAACUUUUACGAGUGUUAUCUCCUCAUGCUCAUCUACAGGAAUGGUGAAACUUGGUCAUCAACUACAUGCUUUAGCCAUUAAGAUGGGCUUUCAAACUUGUACCUAUGUGAACAAUGCCAUGAUAACCAUGUAUUCUAUUUGUGGGGACCUUGGUGCAGCUUCCAUUGUUUUCGAGACCUUGGAGUGUAAGGAUCCAAUCUCAUGGAAUUCGAUGAUUACUGGUUAUGCUCAAGGGAAUUUGCAAACAUCAGCCAUCAUGGUCUACAUGCAAAUGCAGAGGGCAGGGAUUCAGCCAGAUGAAUUUACUGUAGGAAGCCUAGUGGCAAACUCUGAUUGUCUAGAAUUCAUUGAGAUGAUGCAAGCCACAAUGGUUAAAAAUCGACUCAUCCAAAACAACCAAGUAUGCAAUGCCUUGAUUUCAGUAUAUUCUAAGCAUGCCCAGAUGAAGCAGGCUUUUCGGAUCUUUGAUGCAAUGCUCUCAAGAAAUUUGAUCUCCUGGAAUACAGUUAUGUGUGGUUGCCUGUAUAAUGGUUUGCCUAACCUGGGAUUAGAUCUAUUCCAUAAGUUGCAGAUAUCUGAACUCAAGCCAGAUUUGUACUCUCUCAGUAUUGUUUUAAGUAUUUGUGCUAAUAGAUCAAUUUUGAGACAUGGGAAACAGGUCCAUGCCUACAUUAUCAGAGCUGGGUUUGGUUUGGAAACACCUUUGGGCAAUACACUAAUUUCAUUCUAUGCAGAAUGUGGGGAUUUAGAUUGGUCAGCUAAAGUGUUCAGUGGGAUGAUGGAAAGAGACAUUGUAUCUUGGAAUGCCAUGAUUUCUGCCUAUGCACAUCAUGGAGAAGGCAAAAAAGCUAUUGCAUGCUUUAAGAAAAUGUGGGAAUCGGGUGAAAAACUGGAUCAGACAACCUUCACUGCAGUUCUGUCUGCCUGUAGUCAUGCUGGUUUGGUUGAUGAUGGCCGUCUAAUUUUUGCUUCCAUGAUGGAUCAUCAUGGCAUAAGUCCUGGGGUAGAUCACUAUUCUUGCAUUAUUGACCUUCUUGGCCGAGCUGGGCACCUUGAUGAAGCUGAAAGACUAAUAAAUACCAUGCCUUUUCAAGCAGAUCCCAAGAUCUGGUGGGCGAUACUUAGCUCUUGUCAAAUUCAUGGUAAUGCAAGGUUAGGAAGGAUUGCAGCAGGAUUUCUUCUAGAAAUUGAAACAGAAAAUCCUGCUGUUUAUGUUCUGUUAUCAAAUAUUAUUGCAGCAACCGGCCAUUGGGAAGAAGCUGCAAAUAUACGGGAGUUGAUGAGGAAGAAUAGGAUGAUAAAGCAACCAGGAUGCAGUUGGGUUGAAUGACAGGAUGUCAAAGCAUAUACCAUUAGUUCUGAGCUGGUAGGGAUGCGGUUUUCUUUGUACUUAGCUCAAGCUAUAGAUCACAUUCAUUGUAAAAUCAAUCAUCAAAUCUAGAUAACAAAACACUAUUUAUAUUCUUUUUCAGAACCAAAGAAAAAUCAGUCUAAAGUACUAGAUUCCAUGGCAAUAAAGAUCCUCUUGCAAAAGGAAAUUACUUUUCAGUUUUCUUUUAGGUUGUGCAUUUAAUAAUUGAAAAUAGAAAUCAUUACGUUAGACCAAAUUUCCAUAAUUCCAGGUGAAAAUUAAUGUAUUACGUUAGGCACUUAUGCUUGAAUCUAGCAACCUUUGAGAUUCUUCUGGGACUGAGUGCUAUUGAAAGGAGCACCUUUUGAUACCAGGGGAAGGGGAAGGUUCAAAACAUUGGACAAGUUGUUAAUUAGUCCAGUAAGUUUCAGAUUAAAAUUAAAGAAUAAAUUAAACUAACAGUCUACAAGUGAGAAACAAAAAACAGAUGAGAAGAGAGGGUAGGAUGCACGUAUAUAUUUUAACAUAUACCUGCUUGUGUACAUAGCUGGAUGCACAUCAGGUUAGAAUACUAAAUUUGUAGCUUUUUUUAUAAUAAAAUUGCACUUUGGAUUUGCUCCUGUAGUUAGAAGAAACCAAUGAGCCUAAUAUAUGAAAUUGUAGCUUUUUUUAUAAUAAAAUGAAAUUUUCUUUUAAGAAAAAGAGAGAAAAUAUACAAGAGAUAGAUAUACAUACAUAAAACAUAAGCUGGAUAGUGAUAGAUUUUACAUGAAAUCUUCCCUUUAUAUUAAUGUUGAUUUUCCUUGCACCACUUUAAAUUCAUGUCAACUUUCACCUAGUUAUAACAACACUUUAAAUUCUUGUCAACAUUUAGUAGUUAUAUUACACUAAUUAGUUUCAUGUUUUGGAUUUUUUAUUAUAUUGAAAUAAUUAGUAUCAUGGGAUGGCUUUUGAGUAACUUUUAUGUUGCACAUUUGCACUAAUUAGUAUCAUAUCUUCUCAUUCAAAGGCUUUUAUUGCUAAUAAUUGUUUGAUUUAGUGAAAUGAGGUUUUCACUAUGAAGAAGUACAAACCAAAGGAUAAGUCAAUCAACUUCAAGCCAAGAACUACUUGAGGCUACUCAACCUAGUGGCAACUCGAAAAUAACAUUACAGCCCAAAUCCCAACAAACUGAAGAGAGGGUCAUUACAAAGCACAAGGACUUGGGGUGCUACAAACUAGCAGAUAAAUAGAUUGAUCUUUGUUUUAAUGAAGAUUAGCUUGCCAAUGAAAACUCAAUGAGGUUAACAAAAUUCUUGGGUUCUAUUGCACGAAAUUAUAAUGAGCUAUCUAUAGAUUAGAUCUUGGAAAGAUAUACUAAAUGAAACAAAAAAGGAGUUGUCGAAAGUUAUUUAGGUACAGAUGUAUUUUUUUUGUUCUUAAUAUGUGUGUUAUAUUCAUAAAUGAUAGUUUUCUCAUGUGGUUGUAGACAAAAUUGGAUAUGAAAGAAAACUCCAAGGAUUUUGUAUACAAAUCCUUGUUGAAGUGGAGGGAUUAGAAGUGUACGUGAAAAUAUUUUGAUCCAGAUCCUGAUAAUGUGAUGAAGUACAAUUCAAAGAUGAUCGAGUUGAUCCAAUCCAAUGGAAAAACAUUGUGCAAUAUUAAUGAUAAAAAAACAUUGUGUAAUAUUUGACAUUUGAGCAAGGGAGAGUAAGUCUCUUAAAUGUUUUAGCAUUGGAAUUUUUAGCUGAUGGUAUGAUAAUUUAAUACUUUCUUUUGUGGGUGUAGGCACAUGAGACUAAUAAGCUUUACUGUUCGAAGCAAAAUUUCAGUCAUUUAGCGGGCUAAAAAAGCUUUGCAAGGAUACACGAAGAAUUGGUAAUAAAGUGUAUUUUUGACUUUUCUAAGUGUUGCAUCACGUAUAUUUAGAAGUUUGUAUGUUAACAAACACUAAUUAUUUUUAUAAUGAUAGAGGAAAGAAAGAGGGCAUGAUGUGUCCUGUGUAGAAAUAUUCUUUAUAACACAUAUAAUGAAAGAUAGACCCUUAUGAUAGUAUGUAUAGUUCGUUUAUUGGUGGAAUUUUUGAUUUAAUAUUAUUCAUUUUAAAACAGUUUGUAUAAAUAAUUCAUAAAAAAAACAGUUUUUAUAAAUACAUUGGUUUUCCUUUGUAUAGAAUCAAAUGCAAAAUUCUAUGGUGCAAGUCAAGGAGUUUGAGUGGGGCAAAUGGCUCUUGCCUAGAAGAUGUUUGUGCUCGUGUAAUGGGAGAAGAACACUGUGGUCAAGUGUAUGAAUUUGGAUUGUAUCCAAUUCCAACUAGUAUUAAAAGCUGUGAUAAAUAUGUGACAUUGUUGAAAGAAGCAAACAAGAGUAAAAUAAAGGCCAAGGAGCACGUAAGAUCAAUUAGAGCACGAGCAAAGAAGGUUGGGAUAGAAGUGUCUAAUUUAAGGGAGGAGAUGUCAUCCAUGUGAAAUCAAGUGGAGGAUUUGAUAUCUAUGUUGCAAAGUUUAUAGGGCAACUAGGUUUUCAUAGUUUGAACAGGGCAUCUAGGUUUUUGACGUUCAACCAAAGAGCGAACAGGGCAUCACAGUCGAAUAGGGCGUCUAGGUUUUCAUCACAGUUUGAGCAGGGCAUCUAGGUUCAUUGUCUGAAUAGGGGUUUAGAAGGCAGAGAAGGAAAAAGUGGGGGUGCCUCAACUGCAUGACAGUCGUUGCGGUGAAUGCCAUUUUUUAGAAGUAAAUCGUGUUUAAUAGAUGUUACUCUCCUACAGAAGGGAAAUACUAUCUCCACGACUGUUCACUCUAUGUGAUGCCAUACAGACUUCUGAAGUCUACUAGAUAGACAUUAAGCAAUAGAAACAAAAUUUUCUUAA